rnacentral:rRNA from 1 species
AAUAUGGGACAAUGGGGGCAACCCUGAUCCAGCCAUGCCGCGUGUGUGAAUAAUGUCUNAGGAUUNUNAAGCACUUUACGUUGGGNAAAAGGGCUGUAGGUUAAUACCCGGAAGUUUUGACUAUACCAACAGAAUAAGCACUGGCUAACUCUGUGCCAGCAGCCGCGGUAAUACAGAGGGUGCAAGCGUUAAUCGGAAUUACUGUGCGUAAAGCGCGCGUAGGUGGUUCAGUAAGAUGGGUGUGAAAUACCCGGGCUUAACCUGGGAACUGCUUUCAUAACUGCUGAGCUAGAGUACGGUAGAGGGUAGUGGAAUUUCCUGUGUAGCGGUGAAAUGCGUAGAUAUAGGAAGGAACACCAGUGGCGAAGGCGACUACCUGGACUGAUACUGACACUGAGGUGCGAAAGCGUGGGGAGCAAACA